AGCGAACGCUGGCGGCAGGCUUAACACAUGCAAGUCGAACGCAUCCUUCGGGGUGAGUGGCAGACGGGUGAGUAACGCGUGGGAACAUGCCCUUUGGUUCGGAAUAACUCAGGGAAACUUGAGCUAAUACCGGAUAAGCCCUUUUGGGGAAAGAUUUAUCGCCGAAGGUUUGGCCGGCGUCCGAUUAGCUAGGUGGUGAGGUAAUGGCUCACCAAGGCGACGAUCGGUAGCUGGUCUGAGAGGAUGAUCAGCCACACUGGGACUGAGACACGGCCCAGACUCCUACGGGAGGCAGCAGUGGGGAAUAUUGGACAAUGGGGGCAACCCUGAUCCAGCCAUGCCGCGUGAGGGAUGAAGGCCCUAGGGUUGUAAAGCUCUUUCGGCGGGGACGAUAAUGACGGUACCCGCAGAAGAAGCCCCGGCUAACUUCGUGCCAGCAGCCGCAGUAA
rnacentral:rRNA from 1 species